rnacentral:rRNA from 1 species
GACGAACGCUGGCGGCGUGCCUAAUACAUGCAAGUUGAGCGCUGAAGGUUGGUACUUGUACCAACUGGAUGAGCAGCGAACGGGUGAGUAACGCGUGGGUAAUCUGCCUUUGAGCGGGGGACAACAUUUGGAAACGAAUGCUAAUACCGCAUAAAAACUUUAAACACAAGUUUUAAGUUUGAAAGAUGCAAUUGCAUCACUCAAAGAUGAUCCCGCGUUGUAUUAGCUAGUUGGUGAGGUAAAGGCUCACCAAGGCGAUGAUACAUAGCCGACCUGAGAGGGUGAUCGGCCACAUUGGGACUGAGACACGGCCCCAACUCCUACGGGAGGCAGCAGUAGGGAAUCUUCGGCAAUGGACGAAAGUCUGACCGAGCAACGCCGCGUGAGUGAAGAAGGUUUUCGGAUCGUAAAACUCUGUUGGUAGAGAAGAACGUUGGUGAGAGUGGAAAGCUCAUCAAGUGACGGUACCUACCCAGAAAGGGACGGCUAACUACGUG